rnacentral:snRNA from 1 species
UCGCUCAGGUCUCUCCUCAAAUCCACGCAAUAAUCUUUCGCCUUUUACUAAAGAUUACCGUGGGGAGGGACAUUCCAAUGAGCCUAUAGGCCAAUUUUUGGGAGGCCUUGCCCGCUUGGGCGAGGC